UACGGAGGGUGCAAACGUUGCUCGGAAUCAUUGGGCGUAAAGCGCACGUAGGCGGCUCGUUAAGUCGGAUGUGAAAGCCCUGGGCUCAACCCAGGAAGUGCAUACGAAACUGGCGAGCUUGAGUAUGGAAGAGGGUCGCGGAAUUCCCGGUGUAGAGGUGAAAUUCGUAGAUAUCGGGAGGAACACCAGUGGCGAAGGCGGCGACCUGGACGGACAUUGACGCUGAGACGCGAAAGCGUGGGGAGCAAACAGG
rnacentral:rRNA from 1 species